AUUGAACGCUGGCGGCAGGCCUAACACAUGCAAGUCGAGCGGAUGAGUGGAGCUUGCUCCAUGAUUCAGCGGCGGACGGGUGAGUAAUGCCUAGGAAUCUGCCUAUUAGUGGGGGACAACGUUUCGAAAGGAACGCUAAUACCGCAUACGUCCUACGGGAGAAAGCAGGGGACCUUCGGGCCUUGCGCUAAUAGAUGAGCCUAGGUCGGAUUAGCUAGUUAGUGAGGUAAUGGCUCACCAAGGCGACGAUCCGUAACUGGUCUGAGAGGAUGAUCAGUCACACUGGAACUGAGACACGGUCCAGACUCCUACGGGAGGCAGCAGUGGGGAAUAUUGGACAAUGGGCGAAAGCCUGAUCCAGCCAUGCCGCGUGUGUGAAGAAGGUCUUCGGAUUGUAAAGCACUUUAAGUUGGGAGGAAGGGUUGUACGUUAAUACCGUGCAAUUUUGACGUUACCGACAGAAUAAGCACCGGCUAACUCUGUGCCAGCAGCCGCCGUAA
rnacentral:rRNA from 1 species